AAUAGAUACCCGGGUAGUCCACGCCGUAAACGGUGGGCGCUAGGUGUGGGGAACAUUCCACGUUCUCCGUGCCGCAGCUAACGCAUUAAGCGCCCCGCCUGGGGAGUACGGCCGCAAGGCUAAAACUCAAAGGAAUUGACGGGGGCCCGCACAAGCGGCGGAGCAUGCGGCUUAAUUCGAUGCAACGCGAAGAACCUUACCUAGGCUUGACAGUUGGGGAAAUCUGGCAGAGAUGUCAGGUCCGCAAGGGCCCCAAAACAGGUGGUGCAUGGCUGUCGUCAGCUCGUGUUGUGAGAUGUUGGGUUAAGUCCCGCAACGAGCGCAACCCUCGUCGUAUGUUGCCAGCGGAUAAUGCCGGGGACUCAUACGAGACUGCCGGGGUCAACUCGGAGGAAGGUGGGGAUGACGUCAAGUCAUCAUGCCCCUUAUGUCUAGGGCUGCACGCAUGCUACAAUGGCCGGUACAAAGGGCUGCGAUACCGCAAGGUGGAGCGAAUCCCAAAAAGCCGGUCUCAGUUCGGAUUGGGGUCUGCAACUCCG
rnacentral:rRNA from 1 species